UGUGGAAUGGCAGCGGGAGGAGCUUGCUCCUGGGUACAGCGGCGGACGGGUGAGUAAUGUCUGGGAAACUGCCUGAUGGAGGGGGAUAACUACUGGAAACGGUAGCUAAUACCGCAUAACGUCGCAAGACCAAAGAGGGGGACCUUCGGGCCUCUUGCCAUCAGAUGUGCCCAGAUGGGAUUAGCUAGUAGGUGGGGUAACGGCUCACCUAGGCGACGAUCCCUAGCUGGUCUGAGAGGAUGACCAGCCACACUGGAACUGAGACACGGUCCAGACUCCUACGGGAGGCAGCAGUGGGGAAUAUUGCACAAUGGGCGCAAGCCUGAUGCAGCCAUGCCGCGUGUAUGAAGAAGGCCUUCGGGUUGUAAAGUACUUUCAGCGGGGAGGAAGGUGUUGUGGUUAAUAACCACAGCAAUUGACGUUACCCGCAGAAGAAGCACCGGCUAACUCCGUGCCAGCAGCCGCGGUAAUACGGAGGGGUGCAAGCGUUAAUCGGAAUUACUGGGCGUAAAGCGCACGCAGGCGGUCUGUCAAGUCGGAUGUGAAAUCCCCGGGCUCACCCUGGGAACUGCAUUCGAAACUGGCAGGGUAGAGUCUUGUAAAGGGGGGUAGAAUUCCAGGUGUAGCGGUGAAAUGCUAAAGAUCGGGAGGAAUCCGGUGGCGAAGGCGGCCCCUGGACAAGACUGAACCUCAGGUGCAAAGCGGGGGGACAACAGGAUAGAACCCCGGUUGUCCCCCCCUUAACCAUUCCACUGGGAGGUGGGGCCCCUGAGCCGUGCUUCCGGGUCACCCGUUAAUCCACGCCCGGGGGAUCGGGCCGCAAGUUUAAACUCAAUGAUUUACGGGGGGCCCCCCCAAGCGGGGGAGAAU
rnacentral:rRNA from 1 species